GGGGGAACUGAUGGCGUUCCUGUUACCUCUCAUCAUUGUGUUAAUGGUGAAGCACAGCGAUUCCCCCUCUGUGAAACUGUGAAUUGGUGAUAUGGGUGGGUGUAAUCAGACUGGGGGCUGGCAUGAGAUUUCUCAUGCAUUGCCAUAUGUGAUUUGUGUGUUUCAUCUCGACAUAACCAAGGGACGCACUCUCUGAGAUAUUUUCGCCUGGGCGUUUCGGAUCCCAUCCAUGGGGUCCCUGAAUUUAUUUCGGUUGGGUACGUGGACUCGCACCCUAUCACCACAUAUGACAGUGUCACUCGGCAGAAGGAGCCACGGGCCCCAUGGAUGGCAGAGAACCUCGCGCCUGAUCACUGGGAGAGGUACACUCAGCUGCUGAGGGGCUGGCAGCAGAUGUUCAAGGUGGAACUGAAGCGCCUGCAGAGGCACUACAAUCACUCAGGGUCUCACACUUACCAGAGAAUGAUUGGCUGUGAGCUGCUGGAGGAUGGAAGCACCACAGGAUUUCUGCAGUAUGCAUAUGACGGGCAGGAUUUCCUGAUCUUCAAUAAAGACACCCUUUCCUGGCUGGCUGUAGAUAAUGUGGCUCACACCAUCAAGCAGGCAUGGGAGGCCAAUCAGCAUGAGUUGCUGUAUCAAAAGAAUUGGCUGGAAGAAGAAUGUAUUGCCUGGCUAAAGAGAUUCCUGGAGUAUGGGAAAGACACCCUACAAAGAACAGAAUCAGAAACUAUCCCUCUUGUGAUGAAAGCUGUCUCUGGGUCCAUUGUCCUUGUCAUUGUGCUGGCUGGAGUUGGUGUUCUAGUCUGGAGAAGAAGGCCCCGAGAGCAAAAUGGAGCCAUCUACCUUCCAACACCAGAUCGAUGAUUGCAGAUCCCUCUUUUCC
rnacentral:sRNA from 1 species